CCGCCGCCGGCCUGCUGGCCUUCCAGUCCCCCGCUUUCGCACAGCGGGGGACGACGGUCGGGCUCGGGCACCUCGGCGGCGGUC
rnacentral:tRNA from 1 species